GGGUCAGUAGGUUGGUCGUGCCACCGGUACGUACUGGUCUCACUGAUUCCUCCUUCCUGAAGAACCGUAAUGCCAUUAAUUUGGUGUUGCGGGGAAACAGGACUGUUACUUUGAAAAAAUUAGAGUGUUUAGAGCAAGCUAACGCUUGAAUACAUUAGCAUGGAAUAAUGAAAUAGGACGAUCGAUCCUAUUUUGUUGGUUUCUGGGAUUGACGUA
rnacentral:rRNA from 1 species